AAGAAUUGAAGAACAGAGCAAGCUAAGUCUCCAGAUUGAGAGGGCCCAAUACAAUCUACAUCUAGACACAAUAUUGUAAAAUUUUGGAAUAUUAAGGAUAGAAGGAAGAUAUUAAAGUGGCCAGGGAGAAAACAAAUGAGGUCAUCACGAUUAGCUCAACACAAAAAUGGAUGAGAAAUAGACUGCUAACAGAUUUGUCAUCAGCAACACUGAAUGCCAGAAGUCAAUGGAUCAACAUCUUCAGAGCUUAUGGAAAAUUUUUGUACCUAGAAUUUCAUAGUAAGGCAGACUGUCAAGAAGAACAUCAAAGUGAAGACAUUUUCUGUCAGGCAAAUUUUCAGAAAGUCUCCCUCCUUUGCACCCUUACUGAGGAAGUAUCUUGAGGAAAUUCUCCAGCAAAAUGAGGAUGAAAACCAGGAAAGAAGAAGAAAUGGGAUCCAUAAAACAGUGGACCUUACUUAGGAUGUCUCAUUCUAGAGUGACAGCCAAAAGGGUAUCUCACCCUAGAGUGACAGCUAUCCAGCAGACUAAUUUCAGAUGAGAGCAUACUGUCUCGGGCUUUCUGGGAAGAAUGUGCAUUCAGUGCCAUAGAUAGUAUCAUUGAAGAGCUGGGAUGCUUGAGAAGAUUAUUUAGUCAAGAAAAAAGAAAGACAAAUCAACAAUAUGUCAAAAAAUUCAGGUCCAAUUAUAGAGCAAAAUAAAAUGAGGCAUGAUUUUGAGUUAUUCAUGAAGAAUAAGAAGAGGCUUCAUAGGUACAUUUCCUUUUCUAUGGCACAGGCAUGAUGAUAUUGGGUGUGUAGGGAAGAAAAUAUCCUAGCUUAUACUAGGCUCCCAGUAAGAAGUAUUUAAAUAGCCAAAAUAAUGUGGAUAUCAUUUAUUAGUAUUCAGUGUUCAGAUCAGCCUAUUAACAAAGUGUGAAAGGUUUCAUUUUUUAUUCAGAACUGAAGUUGAAAGUAAUUAAUGCUGACAAAGGGAAAGAAAGCAGAAAGAGAUUGAGAAUUAGAGGAAGAGAAGUGGAAUCAAAGGUAGAGAUACUUAUAUAUUCAAAGUGGGGAUGAAAAGAUCUUCAGUUAAUGGAACAAGAACUAGAGGAUUAGUGUAUUGUUCAAAGCUAUAAAAUCAAACCAAUAGAUGUAUUAAAAAGUGAUGUAACUAUCAGACAUUUGGAGAGAGAUGGACAAAGGAAAGUGGCGAUAGUGUAAGUUAAAUCCUUAUCUUUUGUAAUGGGGAAUUAUUAAAGAUGUUGUAAAGUCAGUAAGUCAAGAAAUUAUUGCUCAAACAUAUUAUUUAAAGUUAGAAAGUUAGUUACCAGACGAUCUAAAAUAAAUAUUGUUAAAAGCAUUACCUCUAGGGAAUGGGAUUUAGAUUUAAAAAGGGUGGGAUGGGAAACUGUGUUUUUCAUUUUAAGUCCUUCUGUACUAUUUAAUUUUUUACCUUGUGCAUGUAUUACUUUGAAAAAAUUUUUAAUAAACCCAAAU
rnacentral:lncRNA from 1 species